rnacentral:rRNA from 1 species
CAGCCGCCGCGGGAAUACGGAGGGCGCGAGCGUUACCCGGAUUUACUGGGCGUAAAGGGCGUGUAGGCGGCCUGGGGCGUCCCAUGUGAAAGGCCACGGCUCAACCGUGGAGGAGCGUGGGAUACGCUCAGGCUAGAAGGUGGGAGAGGGUGGUGGAAUUCCCGGAGUAGCGGUGAAAUGCGCAGAUACCGGGAGGAACGCCGAUGGCGAAGGCAGCCACCUGGUCCACUUCUGACGCUGAGGCGCGAAAGCGUGGGGAGCAAACAGGAUUAGAUACCCCUGUAGUCCCUGUCUCUUAUAC